GACAACGUAGCCGUGUGCGAAAGGCAGUGCUGUGCUAAGGUACUGGUUUCAGCCCGCGUAGGUUCGAUUCCUACCGUUGUCA
rnacentral:tRNA from 1 species